GACAAUGUGUCUGGCAAGUUCUUCCCCUGUGUGACUUGCUCAUAUUUCAAAUAGUGGAACAGGAAUCAUACCAGUGAAGCCCAUGGCGGCUCCUUCUCGUGACUGUCUAAGCAGCCCAGCUCCAUCUCGAAAGUCAAUGUACACCAGAUCUAUGGCUUGGAGACCAAAGGCUUUCGCUAUGACAACAAUCUUUUGCCGGGCGUAGAGAAUAUCCAGGGUUUCUUUACUACUUGUUGCACCUGAAAAUGGGAUGUUAACAGAAAAAGGAGGCUUUAACUUUGGAAACCGCACCCAGAUAUUUAUUAUAAAACCUCAGUUUGUACAGAUAUCUAAACCUCCCUGGAAAUUGCUCCUCCGCAAAAUAAAAUUAUUGAAAUACAAAUGAAGACAGGGACGCGUGGAGGCCAAGUUAAACCUCGAAUGUGUCUGUUUAACUGACAAGGCAUCUUUCAAUAGAAUUACUUCUACCUGCAUUAAGAGAAGGCCCCUUCCCCAUUCUGGGAGGCUGGGUCAGGGUCGCAAGGGACUCCUGAUAUAUUUUUUUCCUUCUUAUCAUCGCUUGAAAAGUGCCAGUCCAAAGACAGCACCACAAAGGGUGGCCCAGCAGCUAUGCAGGGCAAUGGUUCGUGUUUCACAGCAAGCACAGAACUGUGUGUGCUGCGAUUGCCCUGUCCAAACUGAAGUUCUGAGCCAAAUGCUUCAGCUUCAGGGUCUGUCUGGAUGGAGAACUUGGGGAGACGGGAGGGCACUUGUUUUGAGAGGGCUGGAAAGCAUCGAUAUGCCUUCUGUAGCCCGCUGAACCGUUGGAUACACAAGUCUCCUGGAAAGACUCGUAUUCAAAUAAAUUCAGUUUUUUCACCCUGAGGGGAGGGAAGUGUCCCUGUUUACAUUUGGAACAUGCCACUCCCUGCCUAGGGAAAGUGCCUGUCUUCAGGUCACUGGGGCUGGUUUCUGUGGCCUCGGCCUCUUUUCUAAAUGCUUCACGGUCUCCAGUCAAACAUGCAGACCCCUCAAGUGCAGCUCACAAGGGAUGGUGAGAAUCGGUGAAAAUCAGCACAUUUAAUACUAAGAGUUCGAAACAUAUUGUAAGAGAAAUUUAAGAUCCAUUUAAAAUAAUAUUUACCUACCGCAUAUUCUGUAGAAAACAAUUCAUUAAGGCAAAUGUGAAAUUGCCUUAAAUUUGCGUUAGAAAUCUAGACAGCCCACAGACUGAUAUGAAAACAAAAUACUGAAGCAACGGUGAGGCUGUUCACAUAAUAUAUUUAUUAGGAGCAAAGGAGAUGCCAU
rnacentral:lncRNA from 1 species